GCGGGAGCGGCAGGCGUCGAGCAGAUGGCCUCGUCUGCCUGCGUUUCUGCGGUUCAUCUCGUCGCGGCGGUUGGACUGUCGGCGGCAUCAUCUUCGUGGGAGGACAGCCGGAUUCUAGCAGCAACCUGAGCAUGGACUCCCGUUGUUGCCGCGGCUGGAGAAGCGGCAUCUCGUACGUGUUUGUCUCCGGAUUGGAUCGAGUAAGGGGACUCCCCGCGAUCUCGUUCUCCACCAGCACCCGAGGUCUCAGACCUCCACUAGCCUCUGAAAUCGACCUCGACCUCUGUACGUUGAGCUCCAACCUUCGACCCGACCUCAAGAUCCCGUUCAAGUUCUCCAACCUUCAGCUGCCUCCCAAGGUUCUGCUUUUUCUGAUGGUACUAUCAAAAAGCUAGCUGCAGCUUCAUUUUUCAACUGGAAAGGAGAGUACACAAAAACAUUGACCACAGUGGGACUACGGAGACAAUAAUUCGUAACACUUUGAUCAAUUUUUGUUUUUCCCCGUGUCUGGUCGGUACAAGUAACUUUAGGGAUUUAAAUUUUCGAAUUUUUGUUUCCGUAACCUUGGAGCUAGCUAAAAGUCAGUACCAAAAUCUAUGAUUCGUGAGAUAGAAAGAACAUGAACCUUCUUUUUCAAUAAAGAAAAUAAGAAGAACCUGAACCUAAAGUUUUCAAUAAAGAAAAUAAGAAGAACCUGAACUUAAAGUUAACAGGAUUUUUUUGGCCAUCUGCAAAUUUAGCUGCCUGAAUGCAAGUUCCAAACUGUAUCAGGCGGCAGUGGAUUAGUGCAUGCAUAGUCUCUUCUGACCCUGAUGUAAUUUUUCAGCUUUUUUUGUUUUGAAAUAUAGUGCUUUCCAAAAAUUUCUUGCUGCUGGUUCAUGAGUGGCAUGGAGUUGUGUCCAAACUAACAUUUUCUAUAAAAUAUAGGGAUGAAUUUCACCACGUUAGAUUUUUUCCCAAAACCAUCAGAAAGUUAUUUAGAGUAUAUUAAGUAGAAUCUGUUUAUUUUAAUGCUUUGUUUAUUCCCAGGGCCAUUGAAAACAGUUAAGGUCACGUUUUGAGAAUGAGACAUGCCGGUUUUUCUUACUCGUUUUUGUUUUUCUGGCACAUGAAGCCAUACGGGUUGUUGUUUGAUGGUGUGGUACUAAGCAGACACCCUACAAUGCCAGUAGCUAUGUUGCAUGAUUUUAUUGUCAUUUCAAGGCAUGCUGGUAAUUCUUACGUCAGGCAGAAGGUUCGAUUCUUAUUUAACACCUGCU